rnacentral:lncRNA from 1 species
CAGAAACCGCGAGCCGUUUCCUUUCUCUUCGGAAAUGGCAGUUUUGUUGUCCUGGAUGAAGGCGAGCGCCGCUGCCUCCCUGAAUGCUGAGCACGCUGGCUUCGCGGUGCCCGGAAGGAAGCCUUUGAAGACCCUGACUCCAGUGUCUCCAGCUGAGAGGCUGAGCUUGCCAGCUCCAUUUCUGACUGCUCAUGGAGCAGAAUCAGUGACCAAGGAGAAAAGGGCUGAGUGAAGAAACAAGUGUGAGUGCCAAGAUGAUGCCAAGGGCUGUGAUUUCCUGGUGGGAAGAAAGAAGGAAUAGAAGCCAAAGGAAGGGGGAUGAAAAGCAAAACCAAGAAUCACAAGGAAUCAAGUUCGGAGAGAAUUUUGGCAGAGAUUUUGAGAGGGGGGCUUUAAGUCAGCCAUGGACAUACUGAAGCAAGAGGAAUGAAGGGAAAAAAGAAAAGGGGGGAAAAAAAGAAGAAGAAUGGGGCCAAGGAGGAUUUAAGACUACCAUUAUAGGUUACAAGUUGAAUUCUUUUUAAUAUUCUUCAAGCAAUGACAGUAAAGAUUCAAAUAACUUUUAAAUUACCUUUGAUUUCUAAACCAAGUUUCUUGGAAUGUGAAAGUCGCCAAGACUGGGCCCUGCAGGGCCUGGGUUGGGCUACUACUGCCUAUGGAGAUUCUGAGGGUAUUAACCUUAAUAAUGGCAUGAAAUCAAUAAAAAUCAUCCAAAAGCUUUU